rnacentral:rRNA from 1 species
UACGUAGGGUGCAAGCGUUGUCCGGAAUUAUUGGGCGUAAAGAGCUCGUAGGCGGUCUGUCGCGUCGGCUGUGAAAUCCCGGGGCUCAACCCCGGGCCUGCAGUCGAUACGGGCAGACUAGAGUGCGGUAGGGGGAGACUGGAAUUCCUGGUGUAGCGGUGGAAUGCGCAAAUAUCAGGAGGAACACCGGUGGCGAAGGCGGGUCUCUGGGCCGUUACUGACGCUGAGGAGCGAAAGCGUGGGGAGCGAACAGG